rnacentral:SRP_RNA from 1 species
GCUGGGCGUGGCGGUGUAUGCCUGUAAUCCCAGCUACUCGGGAGGCUGAGGCAGGAGAAUCGCUUGAACCUAGGAGAAGGAGGUUGCAGUGAGCCAAGAUUGUGCCACUGCACUCUAGCCUGGGUGACAGAGCUAGACUCUGUCUCAA